CAGUCGCCACGGUAAUACGAAGGGUGCAAGCGUUACUCGGAAUUACUGGGCGUAAAGCGUGCGUAGGUGGUGGUUUAAGUCCGUUGUGAAAGCCCUGGGCUCAACCUGGGAAUUGCAGUGGAUACUGGGUCACUAGAGUGUGGUAGAGGAUAGUGGAAUUUCCGGUGUAGCAGUGAAAUGCGUAGAGAUGUGGAGGAACACCGAUGGCGAAGGCAGCCCCCUGGGACAACACUGACGCUGAGGCACGAAAGCGUGGGGAGCAAACAGGAUUAGAUACCCGCGUAGUCCCUGUCUCUUAUAC
rnacentral:rRNA from 1 species